CAUCUUCUUCAAGUUACCAGCAGAACCUUACCUCUCUCUAUAGCUGGGGUUUCUUCAACUUUCAAGCUUCAUAUACUUAUCUAGUCACUCGGGGAUCGAAGGAAAUGUCGGAGGCCGAUCACACUAUCAAAGAAAUAACUCGGUAUAACUAGGCGUUUUGUUUUGGGUAUGGCAUGUAUAGAAACUUAGCUACUUUUGGUAUAAUAUGAAUAAUGAAUGAUGUGUAAAUACUUGCUAGUGAUUAGCUAAGAAAAUAGCUGAUGAUAUACAUGUUUAUUAAUAUGUAUGAUUGAAUGAUGAUUAUCACAUGAAAAUUAUGAAAAAUGUGAAAGUAACCUAAAAACA